AACCGGUUAUAUAAAUUACAGCCUUAUAUAUACGAAUAUAUACCAAUUUAAAUGCCAGAUCAGUUAAAACGACAAGGCUAACGUUAUCGAGCGAAAAUCGACACGUCUUAUGUAGGCCAAGCGACAAGCGAGAUAGCAUGAGAGUAUUCCUACAUUUCCAGUAGCGCGAUUUACUGUGAUAGUUUCGUUUUCACGACCCAAUGGUUCCGUUGUUCGCGCUUUUAUUUGACUAUUCUGGUUGUCUAAUGGUCGGAUCGUGACCAUUUAGUGAGAUCUUUGAUAGUUUAAUAGGUCGCUUCCCGUGGACCGUGUCGUUGCAAGAUAGAGGGGAGCAACGUGGAUCUUAGUAAGUUGGUCAUGCUUCAGCUCGUCGUGUAGAUUGGCAGCGCGUGACGUCCGCACUCCAUAAUCAGCUGCGGGCAAUCUAUUGCGCAACCAACGCAUCGCGACAAACUUGAGCUACUUGGUAAUUCAGUAGACACGGUAUUUACUUUCUCAAACUCCAUAUAAAUGUAAUCGCAUUGGUCACUGAGGUUGGCGAAACUUUCUUGGCCUUUAUUUGUUACAUAAAUGUAGAUAUGCCAAAAUGGGUUUUGUUAUAUUACAGUUGCAGACUAAAGUAUGUAUAAAGUGUGAUUUAUGUGGAAAGCGAAAUUAACUCCGGCGCUUCCUGGGUAAUUAGAUUACCGUACUAUAAACCGGUUGACUAAGGGUUCUUAUAGACGAGCGGUACUUUGCCAAGGGCAAUGAUAACUGGCAAGCAACGACAUUCGAUUAGGUAUUGCUGUCGAGGCACAUUUACUUCUUCUGUUUCUAAAGUGCGCUUCAUUUAUACCUACCUGAUCAUUCAACCACGAUGGUUAUCUAAAGGUAGAUUUUGACAUAUCAAUAAAAAUAACACUUAGUUUAGUAAAAGUUAAAAAGUUCUACAAACGUAUUUUUUGUCUUUUGCAAAUCAAUUUCUGCGCAAAAAAUAUCAUGUGAUAGUUUUGUUUGUUUAGUUGUGGUCCUAAAAUUUAUACAAUGGAAAAUUAAUAUUAUUUUCAAUAUUACUUAUCAGAUUUAACUUAUAUGUAAAAUUCUUCCUCUAUCCUAUUUACUGUACCCAACAGGGUCCAUAAAUGAAGUUGAAAUGUUAUUUACCAAUCACAUUAUGGAAUGCAAUAAGAAAUAAAUAAAUAAAUACAAAUUUAGUCUUUAAUUUCUGGUUGGUUCAAAUACAUGGAGUUAAAUUACUCAUAUUUUUCAGUAUUAUAGUGAUAUGUAUACAAUAUAAGCCUCAGUUAUCAGAUAAUGUACUGAUGUUUGUGUUUAAUAAUACCAUACAUUUUAUAAAUCACCCCAUUAUCAGACACGAAUCUUAUCAUGCGUACGCUUUUGAGUUUACUAUUGACAAAGUAAACGUAAUGACAGCGAAUUCAAGGAACAUAAUAUAAUAAAAUUAAAUUAUGUGUUUUUAUAUGUUCGUUUCGAACCUUGUAUUUUAUUAAUUGAUCUAUACGUAGAAAAUGUUUUGUAAUAAUAUAAUGUUGUAAUAAAUUAUAAGCUUAUUACUAAUUCAACUAAUGUUUGUUUUCCUCUAACAUUAUAAGUAUAACUACUUCAUGUAUAAAUUUUGCAUGAGUAAUUUUAUUCACUGUAUUAAAUAUAAAAUAUAUACCUACAAGUUCAUAUCAGUUAGAAAUCCACUAAUGCAUUAUAAUUGAAAUAUAAGAGAAUAACUUAAAAUUAAAAACUAACUUCAGCAGUGAAGUUCUACAGAUGCAUGAAAACUGGAAUAGCGCUCAUAGCGGAAAGUAACUUAGUUUAUUCCUAAACUAAGAACUUUAGUGCAGAAGUUAUUAUGGGUUAAACUUUUUAACAUCCACUCAUACUCAAGACGUUAAAAGGCACAGUAUCAAUAAAAAUAUAAACAUAUAAUAUUUUAUAUGACGUUAUGAAGCCUUGGUUUAAGGUUUAUUGACGUCGAAGUCGUGAACCCUGUGAUAUUUUUCAUCAGCAAUUUGUAAACAAAAUAUCUUCCUCUAUUUAACCUUCUUAGGGGACGAAUUUUGAUAAAUUGUCUCUUAUGAUAUAUUCUUGUACAAAAUAUCGUGCUUCAAAGUCUACCGAUAUUUGAUACGAAGCUUUUUUACCUUAAAAGUUUAAAUGAUACCACAGAACAAUAUUAGUGUCUUUUGACUAGAUCUGUCUUUAUAAGAUCUAUAAAUUAAUAUAAAAUGUAGAUAGACAACACGGAAAAUGCAAAAGCAAGUAUUUGCUUCCCUUAACCACUUUAAUGGUAUCUUCAAUCAUAAAAGUAAAAGGAAAAAUAUAAUAAUUUUUAAUAAAAGUAUACUCAUUAAGAAAAGAAAUACUUAGGUACUGCUUUAAUUUAUAAUGGUCUGUAUAAUUAUCACAUAAACACUUUGUGGUAUAACCGUAUGACGUAAGAUAUAUUUGCAUUUAUGGAAUAUCACGAAGCCAGUGAAUCAGUAUAAUAAUAGAAGGAAAACCGUUUCUCGACCGGUUUGUUAUUUUCGCAUAAAAUCCUUAAGUGAACGCCAUCAUUAGCAGGAAAAGAACUGAGAUAAUUAAAUGUGAUAGUUCGAAAAACGAACGCACCGCAUGAAUGUCUACAUAUUUACACAUAUACAAACUUAUUAUUUGUAACUGUCGUGGAUAUUGUUAUUCAUAUGUGGAUCUAAACUGUGGAUUCAAAUGCACUGAUGCCGUCCGGGGCAACACAAUAGAUGCCGUAGACCAGAUAAAAAGUGACCAGAUAUUAUUGCAAAUGUGUGAAACUGGCGACUAGUCUGCUGCCCACAUGUUCCUUGCAGCUGGUGAAGGUUGAAUAACCCUUGUGCAGGCAACUAAUGGAAUUGAAUCAGAAUUACACGCAGUAAACGAUCUGUGUGGCCAGUGAUAUUUUAGUAAUCUUUAUAAGCCAUUUAUAAUUAUAUGCGUUUAGUAAUUAUUAUUAAAUAUAUAUUGUUUUUGUUGAAGUUUACUAAUCUAAAUAACAUCAUCGACUUUAUACAAAAGUGUGUAAACCAUAGUACUUAAAUA